CAGCAGCCGCGGGAAUACGAAGGGGGCUAGCGUUGCUCGGAAUCACUGGGCGUAAAGGGUGCGUAGGCGGGUUUUUAAGUCAGAGGUGAAAUCCUGGAGCUCAACUCCAGAACUGCCUUUGAUACUGAAAGUCUUGAGUAUGGGAGAGGUGAGUGGAACUGCGAGUGUAGAGGUGAAAUUCGUAGAUAUUCGCAAGAACACCAGUGGCGAAGGCGGCUCACUGGCCCAUAACUGACGCUGAGGCACGAAAGCGUGGGGAGCAAACAGGAUUAGAUACCCCGGUAGUCCCUGUCUCUUAUAC
rnacentral:rRNA from 1 species